GGGAAAGAGAAAGCCAGAGGAUUUCGAUUAUCUUCUCUUUCUAAAUUGUCCCUGCUUCAAGGCAAGGAGAAGAAGUUUACCUUGGUUCAUGCCCUCGUGGAACAGAUCCUUUUACACCAGCCCCAUUUGGCCAAGUUUCCUCAGGAACUGAUGGAAUUUGAAGCUGCUCCUGGAGGUAAGAGGAUCAGAAAUUCCCCUUCCACUUGGGAAAAGGGCUUCAACAUACAUGU
rnacentral:lncRNA from 1 species